GGACUUUGGAAAGGUGAGGCGGUGGACAUUCUAUCCUGUAAGCGGAACAGAGCAAGAAAGGUUACAACUCGAUUAUCGACCAUUUCAUCUUAAGGAAGAGGAGCAGAAAAGAAGCAGGAGAGGCUGCCGGUGCUGCAGUGAUCUGACAGUGUACAGCAGGACUGUGACCUCCUGACCCUCUCUGAAAGACAUCAGGACUGCACAGAUGGGAGGCACACCUUAACCCCUGUAUGAUUCACUUUCGUUCUGAUCACUGCUUUAAUAUGGUGCAACAGCUCUUUUCCUGACCAGGUUCCUGUUUAGAGGCCUUCCUGUAAAUGUCAUGUGUUUCCAUGAAUAAAUCAGACUUUAUGACUACACAAUUGCAACAUUUCUAAGUGCUAGCACUUGCUUAGUGUAACUUAAUUGUACCAUCAAAAUGUUUGCUUUUAGUUUUAAAUUACCGGAAUAAUAUCAUAUGUGCAUAUGUAUAUGCACAUAUGAUAAGAGAAAUAACAGUACAUAUGAGAACAGUCCUUUUUUGGUUAUACUGGUUUGAUGGCAAAUAUAUAGCUAGUGCUGUCAAAUGAUUAAUCAUGAUUAAUUGCAUCCAAAAUAAAAGUUUUUGUUUACAUAA